rnacentral:tRNA from 1 species
ACAUUGGUGGUUCAGUGGUAGACUUCUUGCCUUCCAUGAGAGAGACCUGGGUUCGAUUCCCAGCCCAUGCA